rnacentral:rRNA from 1 species
GGUUAAGCGACUAAGCGUACACGGUGGAUGCCCUGGCAGUCAGAGGCGAUGAAGGGCGUGCUAAUCUGCGAUAAGCGCCGGUAAGGUGAUAUGAACCGUUAUAACCGGCGAUACCCGAAUGGGGAAACCCAGUGUGAUUCGUCACACUAUCAUUAACUGAAUCCAUAGGUUAAUGAGGCGAACCGGGGGAACUGAAACAUCUAAGUACCCCGAGGAAAAGAAAUCAACCGAGAUUCCCCCAGUAGCGGCGAGCGAACGGGGAGGAGCCCAGAGCCUGAAUCAGCAUGUGUGUUAGUGGAAGCGUCUGGAAAGGCGCGCGAUACAGGGUGACAGCCCCGUACACAAAAGCGCAUGUGCUGUGAGCUCGAUGAGUAGGGCGGGACACGUGGUAUCCUGUCUGAAUAUGGGGGGACCAUCCUCCAAGGCUAAAUACUCCUGACUGACCGAUAGUGAACCAGUACCGUGAGGGAAAGGCGAAAAGAACCCCGGCGAGGGGAGUGAAAAAGAACCUGAAACCGUGUACGUACAAGCAGUGGGAGCACCCUUUGGGUGUGACUGCGUACCUUUUGUAUAAUGGGUCAGCGACUUAUAUUCUGUAGCAAGGUUAACCGAAUAGGGGAGCCGGAGGGAAACCGAGUCUUAAUUGGGCGUUAAGUUGCAGGGUAUAGAC